rnacentral:rRNA from 1 species
ACAGCAGCAGCCACGGGAAUACGUAAGCUGCGAGCGUUGUUCGGAAUUAUUGGGCGUAAAGGGCAUGCAGGCGGGUCGCCAAGCUUGGUAAGAAAUACCGGGGCUCAACUCCGGAGCUAUAUUGAGAACUGGCGAGCUGGAGUUGCCGAAGGGUAUCCGGAAUUCCGCGUGAAGGGGUGAAAUCUGUAGAUAUGCGGAAGAACACCGAUGGCGAAGGCAGGAUACCGGCGGACGACUGACGCUGAGGUGCGAAGGUGCGGGGAGCAAACAGGAUUAGAGACCCCAGUAGUCCCUGUCUCUUAUAC